GCUGGAUUGUUACACCAAUGAAAUAUCAGGAAGUAGCUAUCAACAUGGGCAAGGGAGGAUGAGGUAAAGAAAACUAAGACGAUCUACUUGAAAGUGGAGAGGGACUAAGAUCACUAGAAAGCAGCAUGCUGCCAGACCAUCACAGGAGGUUACAGUGGAUUAUGUGCGUAUUACUGCACAGUUGGAGCUAUCAACGUAAGCAUUUUGCUGCACCUGCUAAUCUGUGUACACGACCAAUACACUUUGAAUWGAAGUACUAUUUUAUUGUGAAAAUCUCAUAGCAUGCAUUUGCUCUACUGUUUAUAUUGUUGUUGGUGGCUCAUUCAAUCAUUGAUGGUAUAAACUUUUAAAGAAGUGCGGCUUAAAGGUUGUGAUGGUAAGUUGAUACGCUGAAUUGUGUGUUUUUAUUGCUGGACAGGAUCAAUAGUCUGUAGCUCUCCAGGAGAGAGAGAAACGUAGCUGAAAAUGGUAGUUCUGUUUUAUGCAUGAAAUGCUGCACCCUUCUGGUAGUUGUGGAGAAUGCACAAUGUAUUUUACAUUUUUGUGGAAAAAGUCGAGGGUCUGAAUACUUUCUGUAGGCA